rnacentral:rRNA from 1 species
UGGGGAAUUUUGGACAAUGGGCGAAAGCCUGAUCCAGCAAUGCCGCGUGUGUGAAUAAGGCCUUCGGGUUGUAAAGCACUUUUGUCCGGAAAGAAAUGGCUCUGGUUAAUACCUGGGGUCGAUGACGGUACCGGAAGAAUAAGGACCGGCUAACUACGUGCCAGCAGCCGCGGUAAUACGUAGGGUCCAAGCGUUAAUCGGAAUUACUGGGCGUAAAGCGUGCGCAGGCGGUUGUGCAAGACCGAUGUGAAAUCCCCGAGCUUAACUUGGGAAUUGCAUUGGUGACUGCACGGCUAGAGUGUGUCAGAGGGGGGUAGAAUUCCACUUGUAGCAGUGAAAUGCGUAGAGAUGUGGAGGAAUACCGAUGGCGAAGGCAGCCCCCUGGGAUAACACUGACGCUCAUGCACGAAAGCGUGGGGAGCAAACAGG